AGUCGAGGGGUAUAGUUCUUCGGAAUUAGAGACCGGCGCACGGGUGCGUAACGCGUAUGCAAUCUACCUUUUACAGAGGGAUAGCCCAGAGAAAUUUGGAUUAAUACCUCAUAGUAUAAUGACUUGGCAUCAAGACAUUAUUAAAGUCACAACGGUAAAAGAUGAGCAUGCGUCCCAUUAGCUAGUUGGUAAGGUAACGGCUUACCAAGGCUACGAUGGGUAGGGGUCCUGAGAGGGAGAUCCCCCACACUGGUACUGAGACACGGACCAGACUCCUACGGGAGGCAGCAGUGAGGAAUAUUGGACAAUGGGCGCAAGCCUGAUCCAGCCAUGCCGCGUGCAGGAUGACGGUCCUAUGGAUUGUAAACUGCUUUUAUACGAGAAGAAACACUACUUCGUGAAGUAGCUUGACGGUAUCGUAAGAAUAAGGAUCGGCUAACUCCGUGCCAGCAGCCGCGGUAAUACGGAGGAUCCAAGCGUUAUCCGGAAUCAUUGGGUUUAAAGGGUCCGUAGGCGGUUUAGUAAGUCAGUGGUGAAAGCCCAUCGCUCAACGGUGGAACGGCCAUUGAUACUGCUGAACUUGAAUUAUUAGGAAGUAACUAGAAUAUGUAGUGUAGCGGUGAAAUGCUUAGAGAUUACAUGGAAUACCAAUUGCGA
rnacentral:rRNA from 2 species